rnacentral:lncRNA from 1 species
GGCAAGCGAAGAUCUUAGUCAACUUCACGAUCAAGGCGACGAAGAACCGAAAAUAAAGGCGCGCACCAGAAGUGCUGACAUGACAGAGUUAGUGCAAUGCCAUCGAGGUGUAAGCGAGACAUCGCUCUGUUCCCUCAGUCCAUUCAGGAAUGAUGCCAAGAAGGUGACAUUUGCGAAACUUUUUAAUAAAUUGACGAAGGAGGCAACAAGCUCCUCGUCUUCAGACGUG